GGGUUGUGAGGUUAAGCGACUAAGCGUACACGGUGGAUGCCCUGGCAGUCAGAGGCGAUGAAGGACGUGCUAAUCUGCGAUAAGCGCCGGUAAGGUGAUAUGAACCGUUAUAACCGGCGAUUUCCGAAUGGGGAAACCCAGUGUGACUCGUCACACUAUCAUUAACUGAAUCCAUAGGUUAAUGAGGCGAACCGGGGGAACUGAAACAUCUAAGUACCCCGAGGAAAAGAAAUCAACCGAGAUUCCCCCAGUAGCGGCGAGCGAACGGGGAGGAGCCCAGAGCCUGAAUCAGCAUGUGUGUUAGUGGAAGCGUCUGGAAAGGCGCGCGAUACAGGGUGACAGCCCCGUACACAAAAGCGCAUGUGCUGUGAGCUCGAUGAGUAGGGCGGGACACGUGGUAUCCUGUCUGAAUAUGGGGGGACCAUCCUCCAAGGCUAAAUACUCCUGACUGACCGAUAGUGAACCAGUACCGUGAGGGAAAGGCGAAAAGAACCCCGGCGAGGGGAGUGAAAAAGAACCUGAAACCGUGUACGUACAAGCAGUGGGAGCACCCUUUGGGGUGUGACUGCGUACCUUUUGUAUAAUGGGUCAGCGACUUAUAUUCUGUAGCAAGGUUAACCGCAUAGGGGAGCCG
rnacentral:rRNA from 1 species